rnacentral:rRNA from 1 species
GGGAAUAACUAUGGGAAACCAUAGCUAAUGCCCGAUAGGCUCGUAAGAGUGAAAGGAGCAAUCCACCCAAAGAGAAGCUCGCGGCUGAUUAGCUAGUUGGUAAGGUAAUGGCUUACCAAGGCGACGAUCAGUAGCUGGUUUGAGAGAACGAUCAGCCACACUGGAACUGAGACACGGUCCAGACUCCUACGGGAGGCAGCAGUGGGGAAUUUUCCGCAAUGGGCGCAAGCCUGACGGAGCAAUACCGCGUGAGGGAUGACGGCCUUUGGGUUGUAAACCUCUUUUAUCAAGGAGGAAGUUCUGACGUGUACUUGAUGAAUAAGCAUCGGCUAACUCCGUGCCAGCAGCCGCGGUAAGACGGAGGAUGCAAGUGUUAUCCGGAAUCACUGGGCGUAAAGCGUCUGUAGGUGGUUUAAAAAGUCUACUGUUAAAAAUUGAAGCUUAACUUCAAAGGUGCCGUAGAAACUUUUAAACUUGAGGAUGGUAGGGGUAGAGGGA